rnacentral:rRNA from 1 species
UACGGAGGGUGCAAGCGUUGCUCGGAAUGACUGGGCGUAAAGGGCGCGUAGGCGGAUGGCUUUGUCGGGCGUGAAAUUCCAGGGCUUAACCUUGGGGCUGCGUUCGAGACGGGUUGUCUUGAGUGGGGAAGAGGGUCGUGGAAUUCCCAGUGUAGAGGUGAAAUUCGUAGAUAUUGGGAAGAACACCGGUGGCGAAGGCGGCGACCUGGUCCUUUACUGACGCUGAGGCGCGAAAGCGUGGGGAGCAAACAGG